rnacentral:rRNA from 1 species
UACGGAGGAUCCAAGCGUUAUCCGGAUUUAGUGGGUUUAAAGGGUGCGUAGGCGGCCUAUUAAGUCAGGGGUGAAGGACGGUGGCUCAACCAUCGCAGUGCCUUUGAUACUGAUAGGCUUGAAUACACUAGAGGUAGGCGGAAUGUGACAAGUAGCGGUGAAAUGCAUAGAUAUGUCACAGAACACCGAUUGCGAAGGCAGCUUACUAUGGUGUCAUUGACGCUGAGGCACGAAAGCGUGGGGAUCAAACAGG